UACGUAGGGUGCGAGCGUUGUCCGGAAUUACUGGGCGUAAAGAGCUCGUAGGUGGUUUGUCGCGUUGUUCGUGAAAACUCACAACUCAAUUGUGGGCGUGCGGGCGAUACGGGCAGACUGGAGUACUGCAGGGGGAGACUGGAAUUCCUGGUGUAGCGGUGGAAUGCGCAGAUAUCAGGAGGAACACCAAUAGCGAAGGCAGCUCGCUGGGACGUUACUGACACUGAGGCGCGAAAGCGUGGGGGAGCGAACAGG
rnacentral:rRNA from 1 species